UUUUUUGUUAAAAAGGAAGUAUGCUCUUGUGGGUGAAUGGGUCUGGAGCUGAGGGUUUGAACGGUGUGGCUCAGGGUAGGUGGGCCUCAGGGCUCUGGGCCCCUUUGAGAGGGCGAGGGCGAGGGCGAGGGCGAGGGCGAGGGCAAGAACCCCCUGGGAAGGGCCCAGCUUGCUAGGUCCCCACAGCUUGCUUCCUCCCGAAGCAACAUAUUGCCCAGGGCCAAUGCAGCCCAGGUGCUGCUGGGCCAGCCCGAGCGGGAACCCCGGGGCGGUGCUGUGCGCGCAGAUGUCCACAAGACGGCGCCAGAGGCCCUUCUGGCCGCAGGUGCAGCUCGGAGGCGGCAGGCACCCGCCCAGGAGUGGGGUGGAUGCUGCGUGGGGCCGAAGCCGGAGCCAGCAGCCAGAGGUUUGUGGUGGUUUUCCGGGCACCGGGGACUCUCUGCGCCCAGGUGCCUGACGUCCGGCCGAGGACAGCGAGGUGUCUCUUCCACACUCGUUGGGGGAGAGGCAGCCUGGUUGGGUGGCAGGGUGCUCAGCCUUGUUGAGGGAGUCGCUGGGUUUCUCCACGCCUUGGGCUCCUCCAGAGGCUGGAGCCGAGGUCCCCGGAGUCUUCUGGGUGGAAUCGUGAGCCGGCCAUUGUCAAACCCCUGCCUGUGCAGGUUGGAGGGAUGUGGCGAGAGGGAGGCUGGUGCUGAUGCAUGAAUGUGGGACAGGGGUGGCAUUCGGGCUGGAAGCGGUGCCAUCCCUGGGCUUUUUUCCCUUGUUUUUUGCCCCUUUUGCCUUCGUUUUUCUUUUGGUGAUAUUUGCUGGUGAUAUUUGCUCCUUGCCCUGAGCGAUGAGCCUGUCUUUUCUGUCCAGCGCCGGGGUGUGGAAGCUUGACCGCACCCGGGUCAGCUGAGUUAGGCAGGGCUGACUGGGAUCUUGAGGACCUCUCUGAGGGAGUUCCCUCGCGGCUGCCUGGCUCCAGAGUCUCUCACGUUCCCCGCUGAGGCUGUGGUCAGAACCGCGUGCGGCGAUCCCACCCUGGUCCGUCAACCUCCCACUGUCGCAGGUGACGCUGCAACAUACUGACACGGCCACAAGGUAUUGAAAAGAAUGAGCUCCCUUGCGAAAGAGCUCUCUGUGGACAGUCACACCCUCCUAUCGAGGAGCUCAGGCAAUUGACAGAGGAGGCCACGAGCAAGUCUCUCCUGACACAAUACCUCGGGCGGCAGAGGGUCUUCAGGACCUGCCUGGGGUAGGUCCGGCCGUGGUGUGGCUCCAGGGCCUGGGCAGACAGCAUCUGCGUGCCAAGCAUUGGUGCACACCCCUAAACGGGGGAGCCAAAACAGAAAUACAUAGAGAAAACUAAAAUCCUGAGCCUGCUAAUAUAGGCACAAAAGUGUCCACCAUAGGGAAUUCUGUCUGGUCCGAGGUCUCGUUGCUAAGAACUAUGGACAGCAUCGGCGGUGCCCGUUUGCCUAGUUUUCUCUCCAGGGCAGGAGUCUGGCCCAAGGCACCGUCUCGGGGCAACGCCGAGCCAGCCUCUUUGGGGGCUUCCUUUGCUAUUGUUGGUUUUAGGUCCAUUCAAGCGGAUGGAUGGGCGAUCGAGGGGUACCUGGAGGUGCCUGGGGUUUGGCUCCCGUUCUCCUCCCUCUUGUUCCCAAUCCAAGGGACUAGAUGGAGGACCGUGGGCUCUCGGGCAGGCUGUGCUUGUUUCCCCACGCCACGUGCAGCUGUUUGGAUCGGCGACACCCCAAACCCCCAUCCUUCCCAUCCCCUCCCGUCCCAUCUGGCCACCCCAAGUCUGGGGUCCAGUGCAUGAGUGGCCUGUCUGCACCCAGGGUCCCUCGUGCCAUUUGUGAGACUCGCCCUCCCAGGGGUCUUCUGUGGCAUUGGUCUUUCUCUUGCGGACUUAUUUCUCUUCGUAGGAGAGUCUCUCAAGCCCUCCCUGUGGCCGAGCAGGGCCCCUUUGGUCCUGUUUGCAUGAUUAUGCUUCCAGAGCCUUGUUGCACGGGGUAUACGUACACCACCUCCCUCCUCCUGUCCGUGGGCGCUGGGCGCUGGGCGCUGGGCGUGUUUCCAUGUCUUGGUUUUCUGAGAGUUGCUGCAGGAACCUAGCGGGGCAUUGAGCACUUGGAGGGCAGACGUUCGGGAUAUGUGCUCAAGGGUGGGAUGGCUGGGGUCUAGGGUGGUUCUGCAUGUAUUGUUCCGAUGGACCUCGAGCCUGUGGCCCAUCGUGGUUUCCCCAGUUGCCAGAGCCCCCCUCCUGGAAGGAGAGCCCCCUGUGCUCCACAGCCCCUCCGGGGUAGUUUCUUGCUAGUCCUGCUAACGAGGGGCCUUCAGGGAGGGAUUCGGAGGCACCUCAGCCUUCUUUUGAUUUGCAAGGCCCUCCUAAGGAGCGCCGGUGGUCCUUGGUUUCUGAGGCUCGUUGCCCUGUGUGCAUCUGGAUUCGGGCAUUGUGGAUUCAGGGCUUUGACCCCUCGUGGAAUGGGGGUGUUGGUUUUGUUUGGCUGUUGGCUGGUGUCAGCUGUGGAGCUGGUGCUUUGGCAACCGCGGCCUUCCCGGGGCUUUGGGACCCGGAUCGAGUUGUGCUGGGAUGUGCAUGGAAGGUGGGAGAAUGGUGCGAUGUCGGGGAGCAGCCCCGCUCCUCCCCGUGGUGUUCUCUCAAGAGGUCUCCUGACUCUCGGUGCCUAGAGGUCCAUGUGGGAGCCGCCCGGCUUCCCGAGAGACACCUGGUAUGAAUGCCUGAUCGAAAGAGAGGUCGAGUGGUUUCAGGCCGGUCGCUCGAUAGAAAGAAAGGGCGCACAGACAUUCCCCGUGGCUCCCAGGGUGAAAGGUCUGUCUUGGUCCCUUUGGGGGCUGGGAUCAUCGCUGUGGCUUGCAAACCGAGGACGGGAAAAUAACUCAUGCCUGUGUGAGGCGGGGUCCAAGUGGAAGGAACGCUGAGGGCUAGGGAGCAAAAACGGACAGGAAAGAAGCAAGGCUUUCCUGUCCGAAUGAAGGAAUGACAGUGGGAAGAGCCAGCAAACAUCAAUAGCUGCAUCCUGAGAAACCUAUGUUCACAAAUACCGGAGUACACGGAGAGGUGUAAUUUAUAUGUAUUCAAAAAAAAGAAAAAAAGAAAAAAAAGAG
rnacentral:lncRNA from 9 species